AUUGAACGCUGGCGGAAUGCUUUACACAUGCAAGUCGAACGGCAGCACGGACUUCGGUCUGGUGGCGAGUGGCGAACGGGUGAGUAAUACAUCGGAACGUGCCCAGUCGUGGGGGAUAACGUAGCGAAAGCUACGCUAAUACCGCAUACGAUCUAAGGAUGAAAGCGGGGGAUCGCAAGACCUCGCGCGAUUGGAGCGGCCGAUGGCAGAUUAGGUAGUUGGUAGGGUAAAGGCCUACCAAGCCGACGAUCUGUAGCUGGUCUGAGAGGAUGAUCAGCCACACUGGGAAUGAGACACGGCCCAGACUCCUACGGGAGGCAGCAGUGGGGAAUUUGGGACAAUGGGCGCAAGCCUGAUCCAGCCAUUCCGCGUGCAGGAUGAAGGCCUUCGGGUUGUAAACUGCUUUUGUACAGAACGAAAAGGCUCUGGUUAAUACCCGGGGCUCAUGACGGUACUGUAAGAAUAAGCACCGGCUAACUACGUGCCAGCCGCCGCCGCAG
rnacentral:rRNA from 1 species